CGUUCGCAUCCUGCUCCGUGGAAGACAGCAGAGUAUGAUGGUAAAGACCAGAGGGACUGUCCAUGACCACAAAGGAGACGCAAGGACUACAGGGAGAGAAAACAGCAGGCUUUGGGAGACACCUCGGAUCCCUGUGCCCCGGGGCCUCCAGGAAGCUGCUGGAGUAACUCCAGAGGCCCAGGGAGUGGUGACCCCGUUUGGCUCCCCGGUUGUUACCGUGUCCAACCGCUGGGAGCGGGCCAGGAAUUCAGGAAACUAAAGCAGCCGCAGAAGCCUCCGCAGCCGCCUCCCCCGAACAUCAACAAGCUUAGCAAUAAAAUGCGGUAAGACGCCUCCCGCUCAGCCCCGCAGCCCAGGAGUAGAGGGCUGCUUGCGGGGCUCCCUUGGGCCUCGGGUCGCAGGCUGUUUCCCAGCAUCUCGGGGCCCGAAAGUGACUCCCCAGCUCUGGGCGAGGGAACCCGAGGCCGAGGACGCCGUCAUCUUCUCGCUGCCAAGCAAGGGAAGAUGGGAGCGAGCCGAGGCAAAGGCUGAAGAGGAGGACAGAAGCAGCGCGGGACAUCUCGGGCCAGGCGGGGCCUCGGAGCGCGAGGCUGAAGCCCGGCAGGACUCGGACGGCUCCGCGGAG
rnacentral:lncRNA from 1 species